GCAAAACCCCCGCACUUCCGGCCUCGGCGAGUGAAGCGCAUAUUGGAGCUCCGGAAGCAGCCGGGCGCCGUAACCGCCCUUCGAGGCCGGCUACCCUCCAGCAGGCACCCCCCCCCAGGCCCCUCGGCGGUGCUGCGAGGACCAAGAAGAGAGGACUGAGCACCGAGCACCAAGGCGCCGGGAUUGCGUCCUGAUAGGGCCGAGAGGACCGCGCGCGCCGGGAGUGCUCCAAGCCGCGGUGAAGGAGCCGGCUUGGAGCGUGCAUGUGUGUACGUGAUCCUUAUGCAGACUACGUUCUAAAAGGCAAGGGUCCUUGCAGUGUCCAUUGAUGGAGCCAAGCAUCUAAAGUGAUUGAUGCAGAGUUACCUAGUAAGACUCCCCAAAUGAAUGAUAAGUAAGUUAGCAGAUGAUUUGAUGAGAGAACGAGCAUUAACAGGGAAAAAUCAUGUUCUUGUGUAAAGCUAUGAAUUUCAUAUAAUUUAAUUUGUUUCAUAUGUAAUUUUUCUUUUGUGGUGCCUAGGAACCAGACCUGGGGCCUUGCACAUGUAAGGUGAGCAUUUGAGCAAUUUACUACUGAAUUAUACCCCAGCUUAAAAAGGAAGAGGUGACUUCUGUUCCUUUGAGUCUUGAUUUGAAAAGACACACAAGACCCAGAGAAAUUAUUUCCUUUCACAAGAUAAUCGCUAAAUGAAGGCAAUUGUGAUACAGGCUCAUGGGCCAUCAAAACUCAGUUAAACCAGCAGUACCCCAGUCCAGUUACAACGCUCAUCUCUGCAUUUCUACCACUUGAAUCACUUUCAGCUCCUUCAUUUACAAAGUUAAUAGCUCAGGAAAGGUGAAAAUUUUGCUUAAAAAUGU